AUCUAGCUGACGAGCCCCAAACGGGACGAAAUGCGCGUCCUGGAU
rnacentral:hammerhead_ribozyme from 1 species